rnacentral:rRNA from 1 species
AAUAUUGCGCAAUGGGCGAAAGCCUGACGCAGCAACGCCGCGUGGAGGACGAAGGCCUUCGGGUUGUAAACUCCUUUCAGCAGGGACGAAACUGACGGUACCUGCAGAAGAAGCCCCGGCUAACUACGUGCCAGCAGCCGCGGUAAGACGUAGGGGGCGAGCGUUGUCCGGAUUUACUGGGCGUAAAGAGCUCGUAGGCGGCUUGGCAAGUCGGAUGUGAAAUCACCAGGCUCAACCUGGUGUCGCCAUCCGAUACUGCCAUGGCUUCGAGUCCGGUAGAGGACCGUGGAAUUCCUGGUGUAGCGGUGAAAUGCGCAGAUAUCAGGAGGAACACCGAUGGCGAAGGCAGCGGUCUGGGCCGGCACUGACGCUGAGGAGCGAAAGCGUGGGGAGCAA